UACGUAGGGGGCAAGCGUUGUCCGGAUUUAUUGGGCGUAAAGCGCUCGCAGGUGGUUCGUUGCGUCGUGCGUGAAAGACCCCGGCUCAACUGGGGGAUGUCGUGCGAUACGGGCGGACUGGAGGCCAGUAGGGGGAUGCGGAAUUCCGGGUGUAGUGGUGGAAUGCGCAGAUAUCAGGAGGAACACCAAUUGCGAAGGCAGCUCGCUGGGACGUUACUGACGCUGAGACGCGAAAGCGUGGGGAGCAAACAGG
rnacentral:rRNA from 1 species